ACUUGGCAGCAGCAGGCUGCAGGGCGCCUCCACCCAUCGCGCCUCAAGAUGGGCAUCCACGCCAAGCAGAGACUGGACAUCAACGUCACCUCUGUCCUCCUGGAGCAGUACAGCCUCACCAAGAGCUCCUGGCUGGCUGACGACUGCAAGAAAGAGGAGCAGCCUCCCCAAGCCUCGGCAGCCCUAUCCUGGAUGGGCUCCUCAGUGGACCCCCUUGCAUUCGGACAGAGUGGACUCCAAUCAAGUUGUCGAAACAUCUCAAGGAUGA